rnacentral:rRNA from 1 species
GGUUCGAUCAUGGCUCAGAUUGAACGCUGGCAGGAUGCUUUACACGGCACAAGUCGAACGGCAGCACGGAUUCGGUCUGGUGGCGAGUGGCGAACGGGUGAGUAAUGUAUCCGGAACAGUGCCUAGUAGCGGGGGGAUAACUACGCAGCGUAGCUAAUACCGCAUACGCCCUUCGAGAAAGCGAGACCUUCGGGCCUCGCACUAUUAGAGCGGCCGAUAUCGGAUUAGCUAGUUGGUGGGGUAACAGCUCCUGGCGACGAUCCGUAGCUGGUUUGAGAGAACCAGCCACACUGGGACUGAGACGCGGCCCAGACUCCUACGGGAGGCAGCAGUGAAAUUUUGGACAAUGGGGAAACCCUGAUCCAGCCAUCCCGCGUGUGCGAUGAAGGCCUUCGGUUUUGUAAAGCACUUUUGGCAGGAAGAAACGGCACGGGAUAUUACCCCGAUGCAAUGACGGUACCUGCAAGGUCAGCACCGGCUAACUACAUUGCAACGGCCGCGGUAAUACGUAGGGUGCAAGCGUUAAUCGGAAUUACUGGGCGUAAAGCGUGCGCAGGCGGUUCGGAAGAAAAGAUGUGAAAUCCCAGGCUUAACUUUGGAACUGCAUUUUUUUAUUCCGAGCUAGAGUGUGUCAGAGGGAAGUUGGAAUUCCGCGUGUAGCAGUGAAAUGCGUAGAUAUGGAGAGACACCGAUGGCGAAGGCAGCCUCCUGGGAUAACACUGACGCUCAUGCACGAAAAGCGUGGAGGCAAACGGGAUUAGAUACCUGGUAGUCCACGCCCUAAACGAUGUCGACUAGCUGUUGGGGCCUUCGGGCCUUGGUAGCGCAGCCCAACGCGUGAAGUUGACCGCCUGGGGCCGAUCGCAGAUUAAAACUCAAAGGAAUUGACGGGGACCCGCACAAGCGGUGGAUGAUGUGGAUUAAUUCGAUGCAACGCGAAAAACCUUACCUACCCUUGACAUGUCUGGAAUCGAAAGAGAUUUUGUAAGUGCUCGCAAGGAACCGGAACACAGGUGCUGCAUGGCUGUCGUCAGCUCGUGUCGUGGAUGUUGGGUUAAGUCCCGCAACGAGCGCAACCGCUGUCAUUAGUUGCUACGAAAGGGCACUCUAAUGAGACUGCCGGUGACAAACCGGAGGAAGGUGGGGAUGACGACAAGUCCUCAUGGCCCUUAUGGGUAGGGCUUCACACGUCAUACAAUGGUCAGGACAGAGGUCGCCAACCCGCGAGGGGAGCCAAUCCCAGAAACCCGAUCGUAGUCCGGAUCGCAGUCUGCGACCCGACUGCGGCAGUCAGAAUCGCUAGUAAUCAUGAUCCAAUAAUAAGCAGUGAAUACGUUCCCGGGUCUUGUAGCACACGCCCGUCACACCAUGGGAGUGGGUUUUACCAGAAGUAGUUAGCUAACCGCAAGGCGGUCCCGGACGGGAUUCAUGACUGGGGCAGUCGUAACAAGAGUAACUCCUGUUACUAC